rnacentral:rRNA from 1 species
GUGGGGAAUUUUGGACAAUGGGCGCAAGCCUGAUCCAGCAAUGCCCCGUGCAGGAAGAAGGCCUUCGGGUUGUAAACUGCUUUUGUACGGAACGAAAAGACUCCUUCUAAUAAAGGGGGUCCAUGACGGUACCGUAAGAAUAAGCACCGGCUAACUACGUGCCAGCAGCCGCGGUAAUACGUAGGGUGCAAGCGUUAAUCGGAAUUACUGGGCGUAAAGCGUGCGCAGGCGGUUAUAUAAGACAGAUGUGAAAUCCCCGGGCUCAACCUGGGAACUGCAUUUGUGACUGUAUAGCUAGAGUACGGUAGAGGGGGAUGGAAUUCCGCGUGUAGCAGUGAAAUGCGUAGAUAUGCGGAGGAACACCGAUGGCGAAGGCAAUCCCCUGGACCUGUACUGACGCUCAUGCACGAAAGCGUGGGGAGCAAACAGGAUUAGAUACCCGGGUAGUCC